CACCACUCAAGAGAGUUAUAUGGGCUAUUAGCUUCUUGAGUCAUCUAGCCCAUUCAGUUAAAUAUUUUAGGCUCUCUUGUUUUGAAUUUAGGAAUAUUUUCUAAACUCUUUUGUAAGUGCCUAUUGGCCUAGGAACCACUUUCCUACGGCUUUUGUAUUUCUUCUUCAUAGUAGAAAUAUUGCUCCUCUCUCGCCCGUGGACGUAGGUCAAUUUGACCGAACCACGUAAAUCUUUUGUGUCUCUUAUUUGCUUUGUUAUCCGUCUUUAUAUGGUCGGUUUUACCGCCUAAUUAUUAUAUGGCUGGUAUCUACCGCCUAUCUAUUAAAUGGUCGGUUAUACCGCUUAAUUUGUGCUAACUUGAGUUUGUCUAUUUCCUGGCCCGGUCCUAACAAACUGGUAUCAGAGUUGGUUGUUAUAUUUUGCAAGACAGGUUCAUCUGGUGGGGCCCGUUCAUCUGGUGGGGUCCGUCCAUCCUGUGGGGCCCACUCACCUUGUGGGGUCCGUUCAUCCCCGUGGGGCCCGCUUAUCUCGUGGGGCCCGCUCACCCUGUGGGGCCCGCUCACGAGACUUGCAUAUUUGUUUGGCCAGUUUUUUGAGACAAACUUCACGUUACAGAUUUUGUGGCAACAAUGACGAUAACAAAGACGGUUGUCGAGAAAUUCGACAGGAAUGUCAACUUCGGAAUGUGGCAGCUCAAGAUGGAGGCCAUUCUUGUUCAAGACGGAGUUGACUUGGCAAUUCAAGGAAUUGAGAAAAAGCCAGAAGAUGUGACAGAUGCAAAUUUUGCUGAGAUGGAUAAGAAGGCAAGAUCCAGUAUUAUCCUAAAUCUCUCCGAUGAGGUAUUGCGUGAGGUAGCAAUGGAGACUUCGGCCAAGGCUAUGUGGGAUAAAUUGAAAGCCUUGUAUAUGAAGAAGACAGUCGAGAAUCGGCUAUAUUUGAAGCAAAGUUUGUACAUGCUUCGGAUGUCUGAAGGUACAUCUAUACUCUCCCAUCUUGAUAAAUUUGAUUCCAUUAUUAUGGAUUUGGGGAAUAUAGAUUCGAAAAUUGAUGAUGAAGAUUAAGCCCUAUUACUUUUGUGUUCCCUUCCCCAAUCUUUUAAACAUUUCCGUGAUACUAUGAUAUAUGGAAAGGAAACAAUUUCGUAUCGAAAAAUUAAAUCUGCAUUAAAAUCUAAAGAGCAGAUAGAUAGGGAUAUUACUGGGGAAACUAGUGGGAGUCAAGCCGAUGGCUUGUUUGUUAGGGGUAGAUCUGAAAGGAGAAACACAGAAAAUAGAAGUAGAUCUAAGUCCAGACAUAAAAAUGUGGUGUGCAACUAUUGUAAAAAGAAGGGCCAUAUUAUCUCUGAUUGGUUUAAAUUGAAAAAUAAAGAAAAGCAAAAGGAGAAAAGGAGUGAAACCACCGAGGCUAGUAUUGCCGUUGAUGAAAAUGAUGGAACUAUUUUCUGUGCAACGGAAAAUAAUUUUAGGUCUCACAAUGAGUGGAUUUUAGAUUCGGGUUGUUCAUAUCAUAUGUGUCCCAAUAGGGACUGGUUUUCAACAUAUGAAUCAACUGAAGGUGGAGUUGUCUUAAUGGGCAACAACGCUGUUUGUAAAGUUAUUGGCAAAAACACAAUCCGGAUUAAAAUGUACGAUGGUAUUGUGAGGACGCUCACAAAUGUUAGACAUGUUCCAGAUUUGAAGAAAAAUCUCAUCUUUUUGGGCACUCUUGAGUCUAUCGGGUGCAGGUAUUCAGGUGGAGACGGAGUUCUUAAAAUCACUCGAGGAGCUCUUGUUGUUAUGAAAGCACACAAAUCUGGUACUUUGUAUAUUUUGCAGGGAUCUACUGUGACAGGUGCUGCUGCUGUUUCAACAUCAUCUUUGUCAGAUACAGACAUCACCAAAUUAUGGCAUAUGCGUUUGGGGCAUAUGAGCGAAAAAGGCUUGGGCAUACUGAGCAAAAGAGGACUUUUGUGUGGACAAAGUACCGGUCCAUUGGAAUUCUGUGAACAUUGUAUUUUUGGGAAGCAGAAAAGAGUCAGCUUCAGUUCACCAGCAAUUCACAAGACAAAAGGCACUCUUGAUUACAUUCAUUCAGAUCUAUGGGGUCAUUCUCGUGCUCCUUCUAAAGGUGGUGCCAGGUACAUGUUGACUUUCAUUGAUGACUAUUCAAGGAAAGUUUGGGUCUAUUUUCUUAAGCACAAAAAUGAUGUUUUCCUAACUUUUAAGCAAUGGAAAGUUUUGAUUGAGAAACAAACAGGAAAACAUGUUAAGCGGUUGAGAACAGAUAAUGGCAUGGAAUUUUGUGGAGGUGAAUUUAAUGAAUUUUGCAAAAAUGAAGGAAUUGUUCGGCAUCACACCGUCAGGAUGACGCCUCAACAAAAUGGUGUGGCUGAACGUAUGAACAGAACGCUUUUUGAGAGAGUAAGAUGUAUGAUCUCAAAUGCAGGGUUGACAAAUGACUUUUGGGCAGAGGCGAUCAAUAUGGCCUGUUAUAUUGUCAACCGUUCUCCUUCUGCAUCUCUUGAUUUCAAAACUCCUGAGGAAGUUUGGUCAGGUACUCCUGCUGAUUACUCCAAUUUAAAAGUUUUUGGGUGUCCAGCAUACAUGCACGUGAAUGAUGGAAAAUUGGAGUUUAGGGCUAAAAAGUGCAUUUUUCUUGGGUAUGCUUCUGGGGUAAAAGGAUACAGAUUAUGGUAUCCUGAUCCCAAAUCCCCAAAAUUUGUAAUCAGUAGAGAUGUUACUUUUGAUGAAUUAUCUCUGUUAUCUUCCAAGAAGGAGUCUUCUAGUCCUUGUACUACUGAUAGUACACAGAAGCAGGUGGAGCUUGAUAUUGGCAGUUCUGGUCCUUCUCAAUCCAAAUCUUCUAUUCAACAAGUGCCAGUAGAUACACCUGAAUCUACUGUUGAAGAUAGUUCAGAAGAAGAGGAGUAUUCCAUAGCCAGAGAUAGAGCAAGGAGAGACAUUCGACCACCACAAAGAUAUGCAAAUUUAGUUGCAUAUGCUUUGUCUGUUGCAGAAGAAACUGAUGCAGUUGGUAAGCCUUCCACCUAUUCAGAAGCAGUUUCUUGUGAUGAUUCUGCAAAGUGGUUGAUUGCGAUGAAUGAAGAAAUUGAAUCUAUUCAUCAGAAUGAAACUUGGGUUCUUGUAAAGCCGCCGUCAGCUAAGAAAAUUGUUGGUUGCAAGUGGGUCUUCAAGAAAAAGGAAGGUAUUCCAGGGGUUGAAGAUGCAAGGUAUAAAGCACGAUUAGUUGCAAAGGGCUAUAAUCAGGUACAAGGUGUUGAUUUUAAUGAUAUAUUCUCACCUGUUGUUAAACAUAGCUCUAUUCGUGUUUUGCUUGCUUUAGUUGCCAUGUAUAAUUUGGAGUUAGAACAGCUCGACGUUAAGACAGCUUUCUUAUAUGGCGAACUUGAAGAACAAAUUUAUAUGAAACAACCCCAGGGUUUUGAAAUUGAAGGUAAGGAAGACCAUGUUUGCUUGUUGAAGAAAUCCUUAUAUGGAUUGAAGCAGUCUCUAAGACAAUGGUAUAAAAGGUUUGAUUCCUUUAUGUUGGGUCAUGGUUAUUUGAGGAGCAUGUAUGAUAGUUGUGUUUACUUCCGGAAGUUAAAUGAUGGUUCUUCCAUUUAUUUGCUGCUUUAUGUUGAUGACAUGCUCAUUGCUGCCAAGAAUUUGUCAGAAAUUCACACCUUGAAACUGCAGUUAAAUAGUGAAUUUGAAAUGAAAGAUUUGGGAGCAGCUAAGAAAAUUCUUGGCAUGGAUAUCAAGCGAGAUCGAGGAGUAGGGAAGUUAUUUUUGACCCAGAAAAAUUACCUUGAAAAAGUUUUGGAGCGUUUUGGCAUGAAAGAUGCUAAACCAGUAUCUACUCCUCUUGCUAGCCAUUUUCGGCUAUCUGCUGCUCAAUCACCAAAAUCAGAUGAAGAGGAAGAUUAUAUGGCACGGGUUCCUUAUUCCAGUGCAGUCGACAGUAUUAUGUAUGCAAUGGUUUGUACUCGUUCAGAUAUUGCACAAGCAGUCAGUGUUGUUAGCAGAUAUAUGUCUUGCCCUGGUAAAACACAUUGGCAGGCUGUGAAGUGGAUUCUCAGAUAUUUGCGAGGUACUUCAAAUGCAUGUUUGGAGUUUGGAAGGAAUAAUAACACUUUGGUUGGUUUUGUAGACUCAGACUACGCUGGGGAUCUUGACAGGAGAAGAUCACUUUCAGGCUAUGUAUUUUGCAUUGGCGGUUGUGCUGUUAGUUGGAAAGCUACUCUACAACCUGUCGUAGCUUUGUCUACUACAGAAGCAGAAUAUAUGGCUGUGACCGAGGCAAUCAAAGAAGCCUUGUGGUUGAAGAAUUUAUUUAGCGAGUUAAGUCUAUAUCAAGGUGUUACUGAUAUUCACUGUGAUAGUCAAAGUGCCAUACACUUGACUAAAGAUCAGAUGUAUCAUGAGAGGACGAAACACAUUGAUGUGAAGUAUCACUUCAUUCGGGAUAUCAUUGCUGAGGGAAAAGUCCUUAUUCAGAAAAUCAAUACUAAGGACAAUCCAGCCGAUAUGUUUACGAAACCUCUUCCAGUUUACAAGUUCAAGCAGUGCUUGGACUUGAUUGGUGUUCGUUUGUGAUUUAAGCCCAUUGGGGCUUAUGUGAAGAAGGUGGAGAAAUUUUUACUAUUGUCGAUGAUAGAAUUCAAAAUUAUGCCAAGGUGGAGAUUUGUUGUUUUGUCAGAGCCGCAAGCUUUGACUUGUGGCAUAAUUUUUCAUUUCCUUCUCAUCCCACAUCGGAGCCUGCUGAAGAGAAGCCGGCUACUCGAGGCCUAUAAAUAGAAGGGUCCAUUGAAGGAUUUAACUUGCACCACUCAAGAGAGUUAUAUGGGCUAUUAGCUUCUUGAGUCAUCUAGCCCAUUCAGUUAAAUAUUUUAGGCUCUCUUAUUUUGAGUUUAGGAAUAUUUUCUAAACUCUUUUGUAAGUGCCUAUUGGCCUAGGAACCACUUUCCUACGGCUUUUGUAUUUCUUCUUCAUAGUAGAAAUAUUGCUCCUCUCUCGCCCGUGGACGUAGGUCAAUUUGACCGAACCACGUAAAUCUUUUGUGUCUCUUAUUUGCUUUGUUAUCCGUCUUUAUAUGGUCGGUUUUACCGCCUAAUUAUUAUAUGGCUGGUAUCUACCGCCUAUCUAUU
rnacentral:lncRNA from 1 species